UACGUAGGCAGCAAGCGUUGUUCGGAAUUACUGGGCGUAAAGAGUGUGUAGGCGGUGCUCUAAGUUCGGUGUGAAAUCUCCCGGCUCAACUGGGAGGGUGCGCCGGAAACUGGGGUGCUGGAGCGCGGGAGAGGAAAGCGGAAUUCCUGGUGUAGCGGUGGAAAUGCGUAGAUAUCAGGAGGAACACCGGCGGUGUAGACGGCUUUCUGGACCGUAGCUGACGCUGAGACACGAAAGCGUGGGUAGCAAACAGG
rnacentral:rRNA from 1 species